rnacentral:rRNA from 1 species
AGCCAGCAGAUGUUAUUGUUGGUUAAACCUGCCCAAUGUAAAAUAAAUGGCCGCGGUACCCUGACCGUGCUAAGGUAGCGUAAUCAGUUGGCUUUUAAAUGGAGUCAGGUAUGAAUGGGAUAACCUGGCCUAGCUGUCUCAAAAGUGUUUAUUUGAAUUUACUGUUCAAGUGAAAAAGCUUGUGUUUUAAAAAAAGACGAGAAGACCCUUAGAAUUUUCUUUAAUAAGUUUUCUCCUUUGUGAUUUUGUUGGGGCGACAUAGGAGAAGUUAGAACCUCCUGAGUAAACAUGCCGAUGUUUUUAAGUUAGAAUAAAUUACCUGAGGGAUAACAGCAUAAUUCUAAAAUUGAGUUUGUGACCUCGAUGUUGGACUGGGAAACUAGCAGGUUAGCCGCUUGCUUUGUGGGUUCUGUUCGAACUAUAAUUCCC